rnacentral:rRNA from 1 species
GCGACCCCAGGACGGGCA